UGGUGAUUAUGGUGGAGGUGUUAUACCCGUUCCCUUUUCGAACACGGAAGUCAAGCCCUCUUACGCCGAUGAUACUGCCCCUCAAGGGGUGGGAAAGUAGGUCAUUGCCA
rnacentral:rRNA from 1 species